ACUUAAGCAUAUCAAUAAGCGGAGGAAAAGAAACCAACAGGGAUUGCUCUAGUAACGGCGAGUGAAGCAGCAAUAGCUCAAAUUUGAAAUCUGGCGUCUUCGACGUCCGAGUUGUAAUUUGUAGAGGAUGCUUCUGAGUAACCACCGACCUAAGUUCCUUGGAACAGGACGUCAUAGAGGGUGAGAAUCCCGUAUGCGGUCGGAAAGGUGCUCUACACGUAGCUCCUUCGACGAGUCGAGUUGUUUGGGAAUGCAGCUCUAAAUGGGAGGUAAAUUUCUUCUAAAGCUAAAUAUUGGCCAGAGACCGAUAGCGCACAAGUAGAGUGAUCGAAAGAUGAAAAGCACUUUGGAAAGAGAGUUAAAAAGCACGUGAAAUUGUUAAAAGGGAAGGGAUUGCAACCAGACUUGCUCGCGGUGUUCCGCCGGUCUUCUGACCGGUCUACUCGCCGCGUUGCAGGCCAGCAUCGUCUGGUGCCGCUGGAUAAGACUUGAGGAAUGUAGCUCCCUCGGGAGUGUUAUAGCCUCUUGUGAUGCAGCGAGCGCCGGGCGAGGUCCGCGCUUCGGCUAGGAUGCUGGCGUAAUGGUCGUAAUCCGCCCGUCUUGAAACACGGACCAAGGAGUCUAACAUCUAUGCGAGUGUUCGGGUGUCAAACCCCUACGCGUAAUGAAAGUGAACGGAGGUGAGAACCGCAAGGUGCAUCAUCGACCGAUCCUGAUGUCUUCGGAUGGAUUUGAGUAUGAGCAUAGCUGUUGGGACCCGAAAGAUGGUGAACUAUGCCUGAAUAGGGUGAAGCCAGAGGAAACUCUGGUGGAGGCUCGCAGCGGUUCUGACGUGCAAAUCGAUCGUCAAAUUUGGGUAUAGGGGCGAAAGACUAAUCGAACCAUCUAGUAGCUGGUUCCUGCCG
rnacentral:rRNA from 1 species